rnacentral:lncRNA from 1 species
UUUAUAACUCCAUGACAUUUUCAUUUCAUCAACCGACUUCUUUCCUCGUUUUACUUCAUCUUAAAGCAUCGAAUUUUGAUUCGGUUUAAACCAAUACGAGAUCACUGAUAUAACUAACGAUGAUGUGGCAUCAUUAGCACGGGAUCACUGUUGCUUAAUUACAAUUCAUCAGUGUAGCAAAAGUCGAGGUUGUCACAAUUCUCUCCCACUAACAAGAAUUCUCGUCCCGAGAAUUAAGAGGUAGAGG